CGGCGGCAUUUUGGUGGCAGGGGAUCCUUUGGUGCCGCAGAAGUCCCGAAGUGGACCCCCCGCCACCGUGCUGCCAAAGACCUGGAGUGGAUCCUACCCUCACCGUUGAAGUGCCACCGAAGCCCCAGACCGCCACCAGCACUACAGACAGUCCUUGGACUUACGACCCAAUUGAUUCCUGAAAAUUGUGUCAUAAGUGGAAAUGUUGUAACUUGGAACCGGAACCCACUCCAUUGCGGGACCGAGCGUCGUAAAGUUGAAACCAAUGGUUGCAAGUUGAAUCAGGGUGUCAAUUCAGAAACAUCGUGACUCAUAAGCAGAUUAACGUGGAGACGAUUCAGAUUCUACCUGAACAGCUAUGAUGAAACAAGCCACCCAAAACUGGCAUCGUUCCUGGACUGACGGGAAAUGGCAUAAUGAGCAGCAAAUGUAUGAACUGAUGACGAGGUGGCUGCUUUGCAAAUGUCUCAACCGGGUACAUGCGUGAGGAAAGCUGUCUGUGCUCUAGUUGAAUGAACCAAUACUCCAGCUUGGAGGGAGACCAGAGGAGAUGGUGAACGAAAUGACAAUGGAAUACUGAAUGGGAGAAAAGUCUCAUUCCGAUCAGUCUCAACCACCACAGAAGCAUGAGAUACGUUGUCUAAC